GGAGGGGUAGAAAGUCUGUAGCUGGGUUAGAGAUGUAGACCAUCUACAAUACCCUAUUUAUGUCUUCCUUUGAGAAAAAGGAGAGAUUUCUUGGUAAAUUCUAUAUCAGGCUCGGUGAAAAAAAAAAAAAAAAAAAAACAUUGGCUUCUAGGCAGCCUAGGCUGCUGCUCAGAGCACACAGGCCACACUCACCUGCGCUUCCGGCUCCUGGAGGGAUGUGAGCUCUGUCUUCUAAGAAGGUGAGCCUCAUCCCGGGCACAGACCAGCAUCUGUUGACCUUGCACUCCAACUACAUACAGUGCCUUGCAGGGGCUCAGCAGUAUAUGGAAUGAAGGUCCCCUCCCUGUCGCUGAAUCUCGUACCUCACAGUGAGUCUGGCAGGUGCCCAGAUGGACAAGGCAUGGGGAAGACUGCAGUUCCUCAGCAUCUUCUUAUGCAUCCUUCAUCUCAUUGGCUCUUGCAUUUCUGUUGCAUCUUGGCCCGCUAGUCUCUGAAUUUGUUUUGCAGCUACAGGUGAGAUUGCCAGACCUGUUUUCUGCCACUCGAGUGGAUGAAGGUAUAGGACAGGGACGGCUGCCUACCAGUGGGCUCAGGCUGGCCCCACUUGCUCUGCUCUCCACUUCUUUAUCUUUGUUCAUCCUGCCUACUGCUCAGACAGGGGCUUUCCCAAGCGAACCCAGGUCAACUCAUCACAGGUCACCGGCUGGGUCUUGGGGUCGCUGGCACAGCUGAUGGCCUGCUUCCUGGCUCACGUUUCUGAGCACUGGUGUGGCUGUUGUCCCUUCACAGUUUCUGUUAUAGAGGCUUCUUUCUUACCCUGUGCACACAGGGGCUUCUUUACUGUCUUGUGGAUCUCCUCAGGAAGCCCAGCUGUGCUGGUAGCUUAAGGGAUGCUGUGGAGGAAGUCAGAGCCAAUCUUCAGUCCCAGCUACUUCCUAGCUCAAGCACAGUUCUGCUGCCUUCUGGGCACAGAGACCAUUUGAGCUUAGUGUCUGCUCUGUUUACCUGCUCUUUGCAGUGCCUCGUCCCUGGUCUCAUGAUGGCUCAGGAGCCAGGCAGAAUAUUGCUUUCUCUUUCUGCCUAAGUCUAUCUGAUCUAUUCUUGGUAUCUCUGUAUUUGAGCCACCCUACUGUCAUCUCUCACCUCCUUUUGUUUUGACAGUUUCCUAUGUUUCUCUAUCCUCUCACCAGCUGGGUUUCUUUUUGAAAUGCAUGGUUGGCCAAAUCUUUUCAGGCCCCCAACUCUCCCCAGCUCUCCACUGGCCUCAGGAUAAAGUCCAGACUCCUUAGAAUGGUGUAUGAGGUUCCUGGGUCCCUACUGGCUUCACCACUUGACAUGGGCUCUGGGCCCCAGCCUCCUAUACACAGAGACCAUGGCUCUAGCUGCUUUGAUACUCUUCCUUCCACUUUGGUAAUUUGCCACUUUUCUUCUUAGAUUUUAUUUCUUCCAAGGAGCUUUGUCCCCUCUCCUCUCCUAACCCCAGCUGCCACACAGAUGUCUAGGCUCACUGGCCUGCGGUAUGGUCUGUCUCCCCACUAGACUGGAAGCUCCUUGAGGGCAGGGAAAGCCCUUGGGUUUUUGUAUUAUCAACUACCUGAUUUUGGCGCCUGGCCCAUGGAAAGCACUCAAUAAAUGUUUUGUUUAAAG
rnacentral:lncRNA from 1 species